GAAUGCUGACAUAAGUAACGAUAAAGCGGGUGAAAAGCCCGCUCGCCGGAAGACCAAGGGUUCCUGUCCAACGUUAAUCGGGGCAGGGUGAGUCGACCCCUAAGGCGAGGCCGAAAGGCGUAGUCGAUGGGAAACAGGUUAAUAUUCCUGUACUUGGUGUUACUGCGAAGGGGGGACGGAGAAGGCUAUGUUAGCCGGGCGACGGUUGUCCCGGUUUAAGCAUGUAGGCGGAGGUUCCAGGUAAAUCCGGUACCUUUUAACGCUGAGGUGUGAUGACGAGGCACUACGGUGCUGAAGUAACAAAUGCCCUGCUUCCAGGAAAA
rnacentral:rRNA from 3 species